UCAGGACGAACGCCGGCGGCGUGCGUAAUACAUGCAAGUCGAGCGGACAGAUGCGAGCUUGCUCCGUGAUGUUAGCGGCGGACGGGUGAGUAACACGUGGGUAACCUGCCUCUAAGACUGGGAUAACUCCGGGAAACCGGGGCUAAUACCGGAUGGUUGUCUGAACCGCAUGGUUCAGACAUAAAAGGUGGCUUCGGCUACCACUUACAGAUGGACCCGCGGCGCAUUAGCUAGUUGGUGAGGUAACGGCUCACCAAGGCGACGAUGCGUAGCCGACCUGAGAGGGUGAUCGGCCACACUGGGACUGAGACACGGCCCAGACUCCUACGGGAGGCAGCAGUAGGGAAUCUUCCGCAAUGGACGAAAGUCUGACGGAGCAACGCCGCGUGAGUGAUGAAGGUUUUCGGAUCGUAAAGCUCUGUUGUUAGGGAAGAACAAGUGCCGUUCAAAUAGGGCGGCACCUUGACGGUACCUAACCAGAAAGCCACGGCUAACUACGUGCCAGCAGCCGCGGUAAUACGUAGGUGGCAAGCGUUGUCCGGAAUUAUUGGGCGUAAAGGGCUCGCAGGCGGUUUCUUAAGUCUGAUGUGAAAGCCCCCGGCUCAACCGGGGAGGGUCAUUGGAAACUGGGGAACUUGAGUGCAGAAGAGGAGAGUGGAAUUCCACGUGUAGCGGUGAAAUGCGUAGAGAUGUGGAGGAACACCAGUGGCGAAGGCGACUCUCUGGUCUGUAACUGACGCUGAGGAGCGAAAGCGUGGGGAGCGAACAGGAUUAGAUACCCUGGUAGUCCACGCCGUAAACGAUGAGUGCUAAGUGUUAGGGGGUUUCCGCCCCUUAGUGCUGCAGCUAACGCAUAAGCACUCCGCAUGG
rnacentral:rRNA from 1 species